GACUACUGGCAGGAUCAACCAGGUAGCAUUCAUUUUCAGACCUCGAUGCAUCCCAAGGACGAACGCGGAGCGGAGAGGCUCCGUGAGCACCAAGGAAAGCACGAGGGUCAACCGAGCGGAAGCGAAGCUUCGACACGUCGAGAUCGCAACGACCAACAGAGGACCGCGCGACGACAAGAGAUAUCUCCGUACCCGAGAGCACGCGGAAGGCAUCGACGCGCCGGCACGAGGGGGAACGACCGAUACAAGGACGACCGCCCGGACGGAAAGCGCCGAUGCCCGCACGAUGUCACCCAACGCCCAGGAGGCGGAGGAGAGACAAGGUUACCACGACAGGGACGACAACGAACCCACGUACCGCUAACAGGUAUCGAGCGCAGGAACCCUCCCAUCGCCCGCGACGCGACCCUCGGGGGGCCGGGGCGGGCGAUCGAAUGAAACGGACAGACCACAGCAGUUCGAUGCGGCAAGCACGGAGCCUGCUGUGGGAUCAUAUCCUGGUGGCCACUCAUGCGCCGUCCCAACGCUGCCCGACAGAACAUCCGACGACCCGACGCCGCCCCCAGAAGGAGGAGGGACCGGGACGAACGAGACGCAACACGGACAAGCCUGCUAGA
rnacentral:misc_RNA from 1 species